ensembl:lncRNA
CGAGCAGCUGAUGGUUAAAGACCUUGGUUUAACAACCAGCUGCAGCUUUCUCUCAAUCUUCAACCUUGUGCCCAAACCAGUAAUCCUCCAGGGCGCCAAUAUAUAUUACUCAUAGCUCUUAACUGUAUAAUUGCACAACGUCAGAGGAAUGAUGGCUGACUGCUCAGGUGCGGAUAUGAGGGCAAACGAACCAACAAACAAGCAAGAAAACAAACCAACCAACAGACAUGCAAGUUAGCCAACCAACCAACAAACAGGCAAACAAACCGAAUAACAAAGCAACACACACGCAAGUAAACCCGCAACAAGCAGACAGACGAGACAACAAACAUGCAAGUUAGCCAACCAACAAACCAACCAGCCAUCAAGCAAACAAACAAACCCACAAACAAGCUGACAAACAAACCAAAUAACAAACCAACACACAUGCAAGUAAGCCAACAACAAGCAGACAAACAAACUAACCAACAAACAUGCAAGUUAGCCAAUCAACAAACAAAAACAAACAAACAAACAAACCAACAAGCAGGCAAACAAACCAAAUAACAAACCAACACACUUGCAAAUAAACCCACAACAAGCAGCCAAACAAGACAACAAACGAACAAUUGAACCAACCAGCCAUCAAGAAAACAAACAAACAAACAAGCAAUAAACCAACCAACAAACCAACCAGCCAUCAAGCAAACAAACAAACAAACAAGCAAGUGAACCAACCAACAAACCAACCAGCCAUCAAGCAAACAAACAAACAAGCAAGCAAGUGAACCAACCAACAAACCAACCAGCCAUCAAACAAACAAACAAACAAACAAGCAAGUGAACCAACCAACAAACCAACCAGCCAUCAAGCAAACAAACAAACAAACAAAUAAGCAAGUGAACCAACCAACAAACCAACCAGCCAUCAAACAAACAAACAAACAAACAAGCAAGUGAACCAACCAGCCACCAAGCAAACAAACAAACAAACAAGUAAACCAACCAACAAAUAAACCAGCCACCAAGCAAACAAACAAACAAACAAACAAGCAAGUGAACCAACCAACAAACCAACCAGCCAUCAAGCAAACAAACAAACAAACACGCAAGUGAACCAACCAGCCAUCAAGCAAACAAACAAACAAACACGCAAGUAAACCAACCAACAAACAAAGCAAGCAAGCAAAUGAAUGAAUUAAUUAGCAACAAAAUUUUGGAUGCUAAAUAUUUUGAUACACACAGUAUUUUUUUGUCUUUUUUUUAUAUUUUGAUAUUGUCAUACAAAAUAAAACAAG